UCUGGUGUCGAUAGCUAGGGGGAUCCACCUGUUCCCAUACCGAACACAGUAGUUAAGCCCCUAUACGCCGAAAGUACUUGGCUGGAAACGGCCUGGGAGGAUAGGUAGGCGCCGGUU
rnacentral:rRNA from 1 species